UCCGGUAUGGUGUAACGGCUAACAUUGCCGCCUUUCAUCGUGUCUGAUUUCGCGGCAGCUCGGGGUUCGAUUCCCCGUACCGGAG